rnacentral:tRNA from 1 species
GCCUCUCGAGCUCGGAUGGUAGAGCGCGCGGUUGAAGCCCGCGAGGUUGCCGGUUCGACCCCGGCGGGAGGUAC